GGGCCCGUGGCGAAAUUGGUAGACGCGAUGGAUUUAGGUUCCAUUGGGGAAACCUGUGGGGGUUCAAAUCCCCCCGGGCCCACCA
rnacentral:tRNA from 1 species